UGUUGUGCUGCUCAGUCAGGGAUUGGCUGUUGUCUUUUGUUUCUCUUUUGAUCAUCUGUUGAUCUUUGUUAUCAUUUAGUGUGUCAUAUUUUAAAGAAUCCCUUUGUUUUGACUUUUGUUAAGGUGGUUAGUGUCUUUUAAUGGGUCAAUGUAUGGUUUGCUGUUAGCCCCAUAGGGCCACCUUAUGGUGGGGCGUAACACAAGGACACAUCGGACAUGUUGCUGCAGGAGCUGGGGAUUGAAACCAAAACCCUCUAGUUGAAAGACAACUGACUCUACCAACUGAGCCACAGCCGCCACUGGAAAAGAUGUCACUCAGACAGCAGCACUGUUAACCUGGCAGCUCUUGGAGAAGAUGGUAAAAAAAAAAAA